GAUAGGAAACUGUUGACUCAGCCAAAAUGGUGGAGUCAGUUGUGUGGUCAGCAAAAUCUGAACAACUUGGCAGAGAUUUAUGUUUCAAAGGACAUUAUAGACUUCACAGUCAUUUAAACUGCCACAUUUUAUAUAGAAAUGGCAGUGGAAAAGAGAACAAAGAAAAAGAACCGGCAGGAAAAAGAUCCUGGUUGCAUACUGGGCGAGAGGAAGCAACACCAAACAUCCACUGACGUGAUUUGUUUGGCAAGGUGCUAUCCUACGUACUGAGAGUAGAAGCCCGCCUUCAACCGUCUUACAGUCUACUUGGAGCAGCAAAUGCGCACAUGCACAUGCACACACACAUACCUUGCAACGUAAUUGUGUGUAAUUAAUAACGCACCAGCAAUGUCUCUAGAAAAUGUAUAGAUAUAACAAGUAAUUUAAUUUAGACACAGAUUUAUAUUGUCCAAGCACCAUUCUCAUGGAGAAUUCCUUUUCUGGUUUUCCUAUUCUAUGGACUAAACUUUUGUCUAAAAUUGUAGCAACUGAGGCCCAUCUAUUUCAGGGAUGGAUCUAUAAGUUAACAUAAAGAUUAACAAAUAAAUUAAUAAACAAAUUAAUUUAAAAAGAUUAA
rnacentral:lncRNA from 12 species